AAACUAAGUGCAUGUCUCUCUCACUUUUGUUCGCAUUUCUUUUUACAUCAUCUUCGGGAUGAACACAAAUCUUUUCAUUUCUAAUAUUUUUUAUAUUUAUUUCCUUUUGAUUGAUUCAUGUGCAGUGUAAUGUUCUUGUAGGAUGACAAGUUGUCGCAUCUCGAGCAUGUCUCAUAGGAGAGUGGAAUGAAGUCCAUUGUAUUGUUGGAAUAGUAACAGAUGUGGCAUUGUUCUAUUGUGCAAUUCUAUUCGUUCUUGCUAUAUUCCUGUGUAAGGAAAUGUAUUCAUGAGAUGAGUUAUUGUGUUAUGUAAACCUGGGAGAGGUAUUUUGUGAUGUUAUAUAAUGGAUGAUUUUAAUUCGAUUUGGAGUUUUCUUGAUUUGAAUAUGAGAUAGUGUUGGAUUUAAUAUUGGACAAAUAAUUGGGUUGAAAAAGGCCCAACAAAUAGAAAUGGAACCAAGUUCUGGAACAAAAAGUUGCUGAAUUCAAAAAUGAAAAAGGGCC
rnacentral:lncRNA from 1 species